UAGCGAUGGAUCUCCAUGUUCAUAGCUUUAUAAUUCGCCUGUAAAUCUACGCGCCAAUUGUAACGAUUCUCAUCUAGAGAAAAAAAAAAAAAAAAAAAAAUGAAACCCAUCUCCAUAAAUUUUUCUCAUCAACCAAGCAAACAAUUAGAUGAUCAGGGAUAAAAGCUACCGCUCAAUCAAUCAUCACUUCUCAUUUUUGGACAAAGGAGUUUGUGGAUCUUUCACAGCAACACUCUGCAGAGAAGCGACAUAUUGCGAGGAUAUGAGGCCAUAGCAAAUAUGAAAAUCAAAGGGUAAAAGGACAAAAACCAAAAGAAAGAAGAGAAUAGUAUCCUUUAGCCAGCCCCCUUUAUGCUGUUGAUUGGGUAUCUAUCACUUUUUAGACCAAGGGAUAAACCAUUUUUUUUUUAAGAGAAGAUGCUUUGUGUGAGGAAAUGUAGAUGAAUUGUUCUGUUAUUUGCCAUGGAAAAUGAUUGUUUUCUUUAUUUUGCUUCAUUUUUAAUCCAAUGAAGUGAUAUUUUGCUGGCUGAAAAGCAAGUUUAAACAA